GAAUCCUACCUGAUCUGUUCCAGUCCUCCGUAGUGGCUAAGGCUACUUCCUGAUCUAGUCUGUGCAUGGCAAACUGAACUCCUUUCCUGACAUUUAUUCUCUCCCUGGCGGGUUAUUCCGGAAUCUCCACAGGAAGUUUCCUUGUAAUGUAGCAGCUACCUUAGCAGCGAGAGAAGGUCAGAGGUCAAUACUGUCUUGGAUUCGUCCUUCUUGCCGGGCUUUAGACGCCAGGUUGGAGAACCAGAC